rnacentral:rRNA from 1 species
UACGGGGGGGGCAAGCGUUGUUCGGAAUUACUGGGCGUAAAGGGCUCGUAGGCGGCCAACUAAGUCAGACGUGAAAUCCCUCGGCUUAACCGGGGAACUGCGUCUGAUACUGGAUGGCUUGAGUGUGGGAGAGGGAUGCGGAAUUCCAGGUGGUAGCGGUGAAAUGCGUAGAUAUCUGGAGGAACACCGGUGGCGAAGGCGACAUCCUGGACCACGACUGACGCUGAGGAGCGAAAGCCAGGGGAGCAAACGGG